UUUGACGACUCUGAAGGGAAGCAGCCAGCAGAUGAAAACGAAUAAAACUUUCCAAGUUGCACAUCCAUGGAAGAAAGUCCAACAAUCAAGCUUGAGAAACCUAUUCACCUCCCCUUCACUAAGAUUGUCCAGGGGCAGAGAAAAUCUGGAAGGAAUACAAUGCCUUUAAAUCUUCAUUGCUUAGAGGCUUACCGAAGGAAUGGGGUAUCCAGUGAUUUAACAGGUCAAGUGCUGUGCUGUACUGAUUGA
rnacentral:lncRNA from 13 species